GACGAACGCUGGCGGCGUGCUUAACACAUGCAAGUCGAACGGAAAGGCCCUGCUUUUGUGGGGUGCUCGAGUGGCGAACGGGUGAGUAACACGUGAGUAACCUGCCCUUGACUUUGGGAUAACUUCAGGAAACUGGGGCUAAUACCGGAUAGGAGCUCCUGCUGCAUGGUGGGGGUUGGAAAGUUUCGGCGGUUGGGGAUGGACUCGCGGCUUAUCAGCUUGUUGGUGGGGUAGUGGCUUACCAAGGCUUUGACGGGUAGCCGGCCUGAGAGGGUGACCGGCCACAUUGGGACUGAGAUACGGCCCAGACUCCUACGGGAGGCAGCAGUGGAGAAUAUUGCACAAUGGGCGGAAGCCUGAUGCAGAAACGCCGCGUGCGGGAUGACGGCCUUCGGGUUGUAAACCGCUUUCGCCUGUGACGAAGCGUGAGUGACGGUAAUGGGUAAAGAAGCACCGGCUAACUACGUG
rnacentral:rRNA from 1 species